rnacentral:rRNA from 1 species
AGUGAACGCUGGCGGUAGGCCUAGCACAUGCAAGUCGAACGGCAGCACAGUAAGAGCUUGCUCUUACGGGUGGCGAGUGGCGGACGGGUGAGGAAUACAUCGGAAUCUACUUUUUCGUGGGGGAUAACGUAGGGAAACUUACGCUAAUACCGCAUACGACCUACGGGUGAAAGCAGGGGAUCUUCGGUCCUUGCGCGAUUGAAUGAGCCGAUGUCGGAUUAGCUAGUUGGCGGGGUAAAGGCCCACCAAGGCGACGAUCCGUAGCUGGUCUGAGAGGAUGAUCAGCCACACUGGAACUGAGACACGGUCCAGACUCCUACGGGAGGCAGCAGUGGGGAAUAUUGGACAAUGGGCGCAAGCCUGAUCCAGCCAUACCGCGUGGGUGAAGAAGGCCUUCGGGUUGUAAAGCCCUUUUGUUGGGAAAGAAAAGCAGCAGGUUAAUACCCCGCUGUUCUGACGGUACCCAAAGAAUAAGCACCGGCUAACUUCGUG